ACAUACGACCACACCCACUGGAGAACUCGGGAUCCCGUCCGCUCUCCCAUAGAUAAGCCAGUGAGGGCCGGAUUAGUAGUUGGGUCGGUGACGACCAGCGAAUACCUGGUGUUGUAUGUC
rnacentral:rRNA from 1 species